UACAGAGGUCCCGAGCCGUUGUUCGGAUUUCACUGGGCGUAAAGGGUGCGUAGGUGGUGAAGUAAGUCGGAUGUGAAAUCUCGGAGCUUAACUCCGAAACUGCAUUGGAAACUACUUUGCUCUGAGGGGUUGGAGGGGGGGACGUGGAAUUCUCGGUGUAGCAGUGAAAUGCGUAGAUAUCGAAGAGGAACACCAGUGGCGAAGGCGAGUCCCUGGACAACUCCUGACACUGAGGCACGAAAGCUAGGGGAGCAAACAGG
rnacentral:rRNA from 1 species